CUGAAGGAUCCUACAUGAAAGCUGGCUGAUUACACAGAGUGAUUCCUCUGGUGUGGUGUACCUCAGAGAAAUAAACACUGUUGCAAGAGCUGAGAAGAUGGCCAAGAUAUCCUUAUUGCUGGAUGGUAGCGCUGGUCGUAGUGGACCAUAUCUGCAAAUGCUUCUGAACAUUGACAGAAUUUCUAAAGAUGACUGAGAAUAUUACUGAAGGAUCCUACAUGGAAGCUGUCUGAUUACACUGAGUGAUUCCUCUGGUGUGGUGUACCUCAGAGAAAAUAAACACUGUUGCAAGAGCUGAGAAGAUAUCCUUAUUGCUGGAUGGUUGCUCUCUGGUCGUACUUGAGCCCCCUGGACCAUGUCUGCAAAUGCUUCUGAACAUUGACAGAAUUUCUAAAGGUUAGCAACCAUUCACAAAUGUACACCACAUGUAUGUGUGUUUCAAAUGUCUUAAC